rnacentral:rRNA from 1 species
UACAUGGGGUGCAAACGUUGCCCGGAAUCAUUGGGCGUAAAGCGCGCGUAGGCGGUUACACAAGUUGGAUGUGAAAGCCCUGGGCUUAACCUAGGAAGUGCACUCGAAACUUCCGAGCUUGAGUUCUGGAGAGGAAGGCGGAAUUCUCGGUGUAGAGGUGAAAUUCGUAGAUAUCGAGAGGAACACCGGUGGCGAAGGCGGCCUUCUGGACAGUGACUGACGCUGAGACGCGAAAGCGUGGGGAGCAAACAGG